CCUACGGGUGGCAGCAGUCGAGAAUCAUUCACAAUGGGGGAAACCCUGAUGGUGCGACGCCGCGUGGGGGAAUGAAGGUCUUCGGAUUGUAAACCCCUGUCAUGUGGGAGAAAAUUAAAAAGAUAGUACCACAAGAGGAAGAGACGGCAAACUCUGUGCCAGCAGCCGCGGGAAUACAGAGGUCUCAAGCGUUGUUCGGAAUCACUGGGCGUAAGGCGUGCGUAGGCAGUUUCGUAAGUCGUGUGUGAAAGGCGCGGGCUCAACCCGCGGACGGCACAUGAUACUGCGAGACUAGAGUAAUGGAGGGGGAAGCGGAAUGCGCGGUGUAGCAGUGAAAUGCGUAGAUAUCG
rnacentral:rRNA from 1 species